rnacentral:rRNA from 1 species
AACGAACGCUGGCGGCAUGCCUAACACAUGCAAGUCGAACGAGACCUUCGGGUCUUGGGGCGCACGUGUGCGUAACGCGUGGGAACCUGCCCUUAGGUUCGGAGUAACUCCCCGAGAGAGGUCCUAAUACCGGAUAAGGUCUUAGGACCAAAGAUUUAUCGCCUUUGGGUGGGCCCGCGUUGGAUUAGCUAGUUGGUAGGGUAAAAGCCUACCAAGGCGACGAUCCAUAGCUGGUCUGAGAGGAUGAUCAGCCACACUGGGACUGAGACACGGCCCAGACUCCUACGCGAGGGAGCAGUAGGGAAUAUUGGACAAUGGGCGAAAGCCUGAUCCAGCAAUGCCGCGUGAGUGAUGAAGGCCUUAGGGUUGUAAAGCUCUUUUACCCGGGAUGAUAAUGACAGUACCGGGAGAAUAAGCACCGGCUAACUACGUG